rnacentral:rRNA from 1 species
GACGAACGCUGGCGGCGUGCUUAACACAUGCAAGUCGAACGGAAAGGCCCCGCUUUUGUGGGGUGCUCGAGUGGCGAACGGGUGAGUAACACGUGAGUAACCUGCCCUUGACUUUGGGAUAACUUCAGGAAACUGGGGCUAAUACCGGAUAGGAGCUCCUGCUGCAUGGUGGGGGUUGGAAAGUUUCGGCGGUUGGGGAUGGACUCGCGGCUUAUCAGCUUGUUGGUGGGGUAGUGGCUUACCAAGGCUUUGACGGGUAGCCGGCCUGAGAGGGUGACCGGCCACAUUGGGCCUGAGAUACGGCCCAGACUCCUACGGGAGGCAGCAGUGGGGAAUAUUGCACAAUGGGCGGAAGCCUGAUGCAGCAACGCCGCGUGCGGGAUAACGGCCUUCGGGUUGUAAACCGCUUUCGCCUGUGACGAAGCGUGAGUGACGGUAAUGGGUAAAGAAGCACCGGCUAACUACGUG